AGGCCAAGGUCAUCAGCAUAUAUAAAGCUCUUUGUGGGUGGUGGUUGUAGCUGAUCGUUUGUGAAGAUGUUAAACAAGGUCGGUGCAAGAACGCUGCCUUGAGGUAAACCAUUUUUUUUUGCCUCCUCCAUCUACAUUUCCUGCCUGAAACUCCACAUAGAAGCUGCGGCUUUCCAGGAGGGUCUGGACACUUUUUGUAAAGUCAAAGUCCUGGAUGAUAUGGUAGACUUUAUGCAGCAUUUUUCUAUGUUGCGCCGUGUCAUAGGCUACAGUAUUAAUACAAUGCCGUAUUAAUACAAUGCCGUAUUAAUACAAUGGUGUCAGUCCAGAUAAACGAAAGAUGCUUUGGAAGUUGGCCACCUCAAAGGAAGCCCUAGGUGAAGAUCUGGUUGGGGACAAGGAUGAAAGCCUCCCAGGAAUAAAUUUGAUCAAAUGCAGUAGGAAAAGGAAGAGGAGACUGAGGCUCUUGCACAAACACAUUGUGUGAUCUCCAAGUCUUCCUGGGGCAUCGUGAAGGGAUUAUGAUAAUUACAAGAUCAUAUCCUGAAGUCUAAGGUGAGGUGAGGCAACAUUCCAGGGUUCAAAAAGAAACAAGGAGUUCUUCAAAACCAAAGGAAGACAAAGCGCAUGAAACUGAAUAAUAUGGGCAGUGUGGACUCUUAUAAUGCCGUUUAACUUUUAAUGUAGAUGGGGUCUUCAACUCAGAGGAAGGCAUUGGCUACUCCUCUCUCAAUAAGUCUUAAGAGUGUCAGGAAAUGAUGUUGAUGUUUUCCUCUACUAAUUCUCUCAUGGCGUAUCUAAUGUUGUUGAGCCAUUAAAGCCAAAUGGAUUUGUGUUUUGGAACAAUGGGCAAUGAAAACAUGAGUGGUAUGCAUUGUUCCAGCCAAAGUAAAGAGAGAUAUUUAUAAACUGGGCAACUUCUAUGUCAUCAGUUGUAGGAUGACGUGUGCUUCCAGUUUUCCCAUUAGUCCAUAUUGCAUUCUUUUUUGGCAAGCACCGUAUAAAAGGACCACCCAGGUCCCCAACCAUAACCAUCACAGACCUUUGGCUUCUUGGCUUUGCUUCUUCAUUUCCCAGAGUUUGGAGAUCUGAUCCAUCAUACACCAUGAGGGCUCUCUACCUUGCCGUGGUUAUCAUGAUGUUGCUUGCCACUGCUAUGAAUGUUGAAGGAUUUAAAUAUAAGCCAAGCUGUUCUGUAGAUGGAGGCCGAUGUGCCAAAUAUUGUGAGAAGACUGAAUAUGCCUCCUAUGUCCAUAAUUGCCCUCUCUGCUGUUUUAAGUACAAGAAGGAUGACUAAAAAGGGAGGAUGCCACUGAGAUGGGCCAAGAGGAUGUGGCCCAUUGCUUAGCUACCAAGAAGGCAUCAUGUUUGAUCUCCUUCAAUAAAUGCAAGAAGAAAAAUGCU